UUACAGCCAUAUCAUGUUGAAACACUGGUUCUCGUACAAUCACCAAAGUUAAGCAACAUAAAGCCUGGUCAGUACCUAGAUGAGUGACUGGUUGGGAAUAUGUGGUGC